GUUGGGAUUUUAAGCUGUGUGCCCGAUCAACAACGGAUUCAUUUGGGAUACCUUUGGGACCCGUCUUGAAACACGGACCAAGGAGUCUAUCUAGUAUGCGAGUAAAUGGGAUGCUAAAAACCUAUUUGCGUAAAAAACUUGACUGUUAUGGGAUUACGUGUGCACAACACUUCCAUCCCGGAGUAUUUUCAUAACAUAUAUGAGCAAUUGUAUAUAGAAAAUAUAUCAUGAGCAUACUGGACAUGACCCGAAAGAUGGUGAACUAUGCCUGAUCAGGUUGAAGUCAGGGGAAACCCUGAUGGAGGACCGAAGCAAUUCUGACGUGCAAAUCGAUUGUCAGA
rnacentral:rRNA from 1 species